rnacentral:rRNA from 1 species
ACUAAAUAGAUACCCCGGUAGUCCACGCCCUAAACGAUGUCUACUAGUUGUUGGUGGAGUAAAAUCCAUGAGUAAACGCAGCUAAACGCGUGAAGUAGACCGCCUGGGGAGUACGGUCGCAAGAUUAAAACUCAAAGGAAUUGACGGGGGCCCGCACAAGCGGUGGAUUAUGUGGAUUAAUUCGAUGCAACGCGAAAAACCUUACCUGGCCUUGACAUGCCACUAACGAAGCAGAGAUGCAUUAGGUGCCCGUAAGGGAAAGUGGACACAGGUGCUGCAUGGCUGUAGUCAGCUCGUGUCGUGAGAUGUUGGGUUAAGUCCCGCAACGAGCGCAACCCUUGCCAUUAAUUGCCAUCAUUUAGUUGGGCACUUUAAUGGGACUGCCGGUGACAAACCGGAGGAAGGUGGGGAUGACGUCAAGUCCUCAUGGCCCUUAUGGCCAGGGCUUCACACGUAAUACAAUGGUCGGUACAGAGAGUUGCCAACCCGCGAGGGGAGCUAAUUUCAGAAAGCCGAUCGUAGUCCGGAUUGUUCUCUGC